GACGAACGCUGGCGGCGUGCUUAACACGUGCAAGUCGAACGGAAAGGCUCCAGCUUGCUGGAGUACUCGAGUGGCGAACGGGUGAGUAACACGUGGGUAAUCUGCCCUGCACUCUGGGAUAAGCCUGGGAAACUGGGUCUAGUACUGGAUAUGACCUUUCUCCUUAUGGGGUUUGGUGGAAAGUUUUUCGGUGUAGGAUGAGCCCGCGGCCUAUCAGCUUGUUGGUGGGGUGAUGGCCUACCAAGGCGACGACGGGUAGCCGGCCUGAGAGGGUGAUCGGCCACAUUGGGACUGAGAUACGGCCCAGACUCCUACGGGAGGCAGCAGUGGGGAAUAUUGCACAAUGGGCGGAAGCCUGAUGCAGCGACGCCGCGUGAGGGAUGACGGCCUUCGGGUUGUAAACCUCUUUCAGCAGGGACGAAGCGUAAGUGACGGUACCUGCAGAAGAAGCACCGGCUAACUAUGU
rnacentral:rRNA from 1 species